GACGAACGCUGGCGGCGUGCUUAACACAUGCAAGUCGAACGGUGAAGGGACCGGUUUUUGCUGGUUCUGGAUGAGUGGCGAACGGGUGAGUAACACGUGAGUAACCUGCCCCCUUCUUCUGGAUAACCGCAUGAAAGUGUGGCUAAUACGGGAUAUUCUGCGCCUGCUGCAUGGUGGGUGUGGUAAAGAUAUUGUUUCGGUGGGGGAUGGGCUCGCGGCCUAUCAGCUUGUUGGUGGGGUGAUGGCCUACCAAGGCGGUGACGGGUAGCCGGCCUGAGAGGGUGGACGGUCACACUGGGACUGAGACACGGCCCAGACUCCUACGGGAGGCAGCAGUGGGGAAUAUUGCACAAUGGGCGCAAGACUGAUGCAGCGACGCCGCGUGAGGGAUGGAGGCCUUCGGGUUGUAAACCUCUUUCGCCAGUGAAGCAGGCCUGUCCCUUUUGUGGGUGGGUUGACGGUAGCUGGAUAAGAAGCGCCGGCUAACUACGUG
rnacentral:rRNA from 1 species